rnacentral:rRNA from 1 species
AGUGAACGCUGGCGGUAGGCCUAACACAUGCAAGUCGAACGGCAGCACAGGAGAGCUUGCUCUCUGGGUGGCGAGUGGCGGACGGGUGAGGAAUACAUCGGAAUCUACUCUGUCGUGGGGGAUAACGUAGGGAAACUUACGCUAAUACCGCAUACGACCUACGGGUGAAAGCAGGGGACCUUCGGGCCUUGCGCGAUUGAAUGAGCCGAUGUCGGAUUAGCUAGUUGGCGGGGUAAAGGCCCACCAAGGCGACGAUCCGUAGCUGGUCUGAGAGGAUGAUCAGCCACACUGGAACUGGGACACGGUCCAGACUCCUACGGGAGGCAGCAGUGGGGAAUAUUGGACAAUGGGCGCAAGCCUGAUCCAGCCAUACCGCGUGGGUGAAGAAGGCCUUCGGGUUGUAAAGCACUUUCGACCGGGACGAAAACCUGUUGGCUAACAUCCAGCAGCUUGACGGUACCGGGAGAAGAAGCACCGGCUAACUCUGUGCCAGCCGCCGCCGUAA